GUGUGUGAGCAGGUCACAGCACGAACACAGUGUUUAUAAGGUGUUUAUUAACUGUUAAUCAUUAGUUAUGUA